GACGAACGCUGGCGGCGUGCCUAAUACAUGCAAGUCGAGCGGGCCUCCGGAGGUGCUUGCACCUCCGGAAGGCCAGCGGCGGACGGGUGUGUAACACGUGGGCAACCUGCCUUUGAGGCCGGGAUAACACCGGGAAACCGGUGCUAAUACCGGAUACGUCCUCUUCCGCGCCUGCGAGAGGGGAGAAAGACGGUCUUUAAGGCCGUCGCUCAAAGAGGGGCCCGCGGCGCAUUAGCUGGUUGGUGGGGUAAGGGCCUACCAAGGCGACGAUGCGUUGCCGACCUGGGAGGGUGAUCGGCCACACUGGGACUGAGACACGGCCCAGACUCCUGCGGGAGGCAGCAGUAGGGAAUCAUCCGCAAUGGGCGAAAGCCUGACGGUGCAACGCUGCGUGAGUGAGGAAGGUUUUCGGAUCGUAAAGCUCUGUUGUGAGGGAAGAACAGCUUCCGGAGGAAAUGCCGGAGGUUUGCCGGUACCUCACCAGAAAGCCCCGGCUAACUACGUGCCAGCAGCCGCAGUAAUAC
rnacentral:rRNA from 1 species